UACAGAGGGUGCAAGCGUUAAUCGGAAUUACUGGGCGUAAAGCGUGCGCAGGCGGUUGUGCAAGACAGAUGUGAAAUCCCCGGGCUUACCUGGGAACUGCAUUGUGACUGCACGGCCUGGAGUGUGUAGAGGGGGUAGAAUUCCCACGUGUAGCAGUGAAAUGCGUAGAUAUGUGGAGGAAUACCGAUGGCGAAGGCCAGCCCCUGGGAUA
rnacentral:rRNA from 1 species